UUUUGAUAUGAAAACGCCAUUUGGCAAUGACACUUCGUCUGUAUGAUAAACAAAAUAAGAAAAUAUAAAGAUAUGCACAUUAGUCGCAAAUAUUGUAUGUUUUGUUCAGAAAAAAUAUGAAAUUUCACAUGUGUUGUUUGAUGAGUUUCCAAAUCUAAAAGAUGAAACCAUCAGUUACUGCAUUUUUACAUAACCAAAAUGUCAUCCCUAUAUGGCCAAUCAGUCCAUUUUUUACCCUCAGCAUACCCCCAAAGGUUUUUUCGAAAUGUUCACUUCUUAAUAGUGGCCCUGAUUCGUGAGACACCCUGUAUACAAAAUAGAAAGUAUGUACACUGCUCAAAAACAAUACCAGCCUAUUCCUCGCCCUAUCACCAUGUAAAGUCAAUAACCGUUUUAAAUAAUGUUAGACCAUUAUGUCCGACAUCAAUAACUGUCUUAAAUGGUGUUAGACCAUGUUUGCCGAUCAAAACGGAUACCUUAAACCAUUUACCACGGUCCAUCAUGGUAGGCCAUCACAGUUAACACGAUCCAUUCUCAUCUUUUGGCAACAAAAACUAUAAAAUCCAGGCAAAAUAACAGUAAAAAUACGAGUUUUUGACCAUAAUGACCGUUUUAGACCAUGAUGGUCGACCAUGAUAGUACCUAUGUUCACAGCCGGGCCUUGACCUUUCCAACGGUACCAUUUUUAUCCAGAUCGGUUGGGGCAUUUGGCCGCCAAUCCCGAACAUACAUACAUACUUUCUGAUUUAUAUAUAUAGAUAGAUAGAUAGAUAGAAGAUAGAAAAUAUAUAAAUAGAAGAAGAAGAUAGGAGAUAGAAGAUAUUAGAAGAAGAAGAUGAAAGAAAUCGCCAGCGUUUGAAAUGAUUACGGAAAGGCGAAUAAGACUGACCGGUGUAGUUGACUUUUCAGUUCGUUGUAUUUCAACUGGGAAUCCAUCCGGAUCGGUUAUGUUGCUAAUUGAACUUGGUGACAGAAGUGUUCACCUGUACACAGGCCAAUUCACAACAUAUCGAAAAUCGAAAUGUGAUAGUUAGUCAAGCUAUUCGACAUUACAAAGACAGAUUAAAUAUGAUAUUUAUGUAGGCAAUACGGUAGCUAGUUUGAAUGAGUUUGGACUUUUGAAAAGAGCUUGCUAAGAUCGAAAAAAUUGUCAAUGAUCAUAUUGGAUAUAAAAUAUAUUUGCAUACUGAUAUAUUUGGAUAUGAAGAAUUGAUUCACCGGCUAGCACAGAAUGGCAUCAAAAUUAAAUUAAACAAACUACAGAAAAUUUUAUUUGAACAAAACGGACAUUCUGAUCUUUUUAAAUUUGAUGUGUGAUUUCACAGUGGUUUUGCCUACGAUCCUGCAAUAAAAUCAAUUAUAAAGAUGUGAGCUCAAAAUCCAAUCCUGUGCAGUCCGAUGAGAUUGAGAUAUAUAAAUAUGAUGAUGGUGACGAAGACGACGAUCCAAAACUAUUUAUAGAAUCGAGCUCUGAAAAUGCUAAUAAGGAUGAUGAUACUGAUUACAGCGAAGUAUUCUCCGAUUAAAAGACUCAUUCAUUCCAAUAUCUUUCCAAAGUUCAAAAAUAUAAACUUUUCAAAAU